CUCUUAUAAAGAGAGGUGGAGGGAAGUGCCCUAUGAAGCCCGGCAACCAUCACAUUAUGUGAAAAGGUGCCAAUUCACGCAAGGACUGUAUGGUCUUUGAGAGAUGAGAG
rnacentral:ncRNA from 2 species